UAAAAAUUAUUAAAGUUGUAACUAUAAAUAGUUUUCAUAUUUUAUGUACUAAAAGAAUUUUUGAAGGAUUUCCUAGCCCAUAAUAAAUAUAAUAAAUAUAUGUGUAACUUUCAAUAGUUGAUAAAUGUUAAGAGUCUUUUGCAUUUGUACUAUUUAUAUUAUAUGUACUAAAAGAAUUUUUGAAGGAUUUUGUAGCCCAUAAUAAAUAUAAUAAAUAUAUGUAACUUUCAAAAGUUUAUACAUGUUAAGAGUCUUAUACAUUUUUACUAUUUAUAUUUUAGUUUAUUGAAACUGUUUCUUUGACAUUCAUUAAUCUUAAACUUGUUUGGCUUAUGUUUACAGUUCCUAAAAAUUAUAUUAGCAUUGUUAAUAUUGAAAUACUUCUUCCUUGCAACCAAUACUUGUUUUGUGAGGGUGGAUACUCCAACCUGCAUCUUGUAAUGUGGUUGGAAAAGACUGAGAGGAAGGGGGGAGGGAGGGGCGUUAAGCUUGUCAUCGUUCCGCCCCUAAUGUCAAUUUAUGCACCACUUGUAUAUUCUGUUAAGUAAAAAAAUAUAAUUUAAAGUCUUUAACACAAAAUAUAAUCAGUGUUUUUUAGGCUCAAAUAUUUAUAAGAUGGUAACAUUUCACUACAAGGGUGUUAAAACGUAACAAAUACAUCCACCCUUUAAUCUAAAAUAGACCAAUAAUAUUUGGAAAAGUAAUGGAAGCAAAUUAGAACAACUUUUUGUGUAUAAAGAUAACAAAUUUUAUCAGCAAAAUACUCUUUCGUGUGAAAAACUUGCAUUUUUUUAAGGUUUCGAUGGUGUUCCGUUACCCCCUCUGGCCCUCUAGACACCCCUUUUAUCUAUAGAGCUAUAUGAACUUGUAGCCUACUAUUACAUCUAUCUUUUGAUACCAAGGUAUAGGCAUUUGGAUAAGAUUU